rnacentral:rRNA from 1 species
GUCCAUCCUACGGAACAAACCAAGCUACUGUAGAAUAACUCGAGCGGAAGGGCGCAGGCAAGAGAGGCAACCACCGCUUCAGCAGCAAACCCUUCCCGAUUGUUGGAGAGCACGCCGAGAUCUGCCCCCCAUGGCUUCCGCGCCGACGCAGCCGCCCCUCCUCCCGGUCACCAACCCCACGGCCGCGGGCUCGGCGCCCGCCUCCGGCGGCGGUGGCGGCCUGGACGCGCCGAUCGCCACGCCGGCGUUCCGGCUCUUCAUGAGCCGGAUCUCCGAGUCGGCGCGGCGCUCGCUGUCCGACCGGCGCCCGUGGGCCGAGAUGGUCGACCGCUCGGCCUUCUCGCGGCCGGACUCCCUCUCCGACGCCACCUCGCGCCUGCGCCGCAACCUCACCUACUUCCGCGUCAACUACACCGCCGUCGUCGCCUUCGCGCUGGCCGCCUCGCUCCUGGCCCACCCCUUCUCGCUCCUCAUCCUCCUGGGGGUCCUCGCCGCCUGGUGCUUCCUCUACAUCUUCCGCGCCUCCGACCAGCCCGUCGCGCUCUUCGGCCGCACCUUCUCCGACCGCGAGACGCUGCUGGGGCUCGUCGUCGCCUCCAUCGUGGCCUUCUUCUUCACCCCCGUCGCGUCGCUCAUCAUCUCCGGGAUGCUCGUCGGCGGCGCCAUCGUCGCCGCCCACGGCGCCUUCCGCAUGCCAGAGGACCUCUUCCUGGACGACGCCGACGCGGCCAGCGGCAACAGCGCGGCCCAGGGGCUGCUGUCCUUCCUCGGGGCACCCGGAUCUAGGGUUUGAGGCGGCGGGCGACGAGAUCUGGUAGGCUUCCUGGGCGCGACAAGUUCGUCUUAAACUGGAGUUACCCUGGAUCUGAUAUUGCUUUAACUGUGCCCUGUAUCUUCUCCAGUUCAUCGUUCUGUAGUUACAGAUCUAUUGGUUUAUUGUUGAUCCUGAUCGAUGCGCCGACUUUUGCCUAUAUGCACCAUUUUCUCUCGUGAGUUCCACGUUGCGAUGGAAGUUUAGUGUUCAAGACUUGAGUACUUUUAUAUAAAUGUAUGAUGUUUAACUAUAUCAGUGAUGUAGAUGGUAUGUUCUCAGGGUAAUGAAAGCAAAGUACUAGUACACUCCUUUGGUCCUUUUGUUGUUUGUGAUACUUGAUAGAUGAAUGUCGAGUAUUUUCUGGCAUUUGUUGUUAUUUAAUAGUUAUUCUCUGAGAAAUCAAUGUUUACUGGUAUAAUGGUAUUCCAAUGCUGCCCUGAGGUAGUGUUUCAGUCAACAGAUAUUUGUGACGAACUUCAUAUUUUUGUAACUUGAGUCAAUAGAUAUUUGUGACAAACUUCAUAUUUUUGUAAGUUGAGCUAUGUUAAUAGCCGACAUUAGGAAUAUGAUAAUGUUGUGCUGCAUCAGCAUGCACUUGGCUUCAUGUUAUUUUGAGAUUGAUGGGUGGUAGUGCUAUUUCUCUUGGAUUAGACUAGAAUCCUGCACUUUGCUUUCUUGGGUCUGCCCUUCUGUCUCAGGGCCCUUGAUGAGGAAUCACCUGUCACUUUUAUUCUAUGAUUGCACAUAGAAAUUCAAGA